rnacentral:lncRNA from 1 species
UGGGAGAUUCUAGCUUAACUGACUUACUGCUAUUGUCGUUGAAUGAUUAUGUGAUAUUGACACGUGAUUGGUUUGAGCGUUACAAGCUAAGGUCAUAGGAGGAGCAGCAUACCUCCAUCCUUUUAUGAGGAUGUCACAGAUGAUAUAUACACUUCACAUUAUAAUAAAAUAUGUCAAAAUGGAAGAUCACCAAUACCAUAGCCAUAACUAACAAACUUAGUUCAUGGUCCGCGAGAAAUGAUUGAUAAUACCUAUCGCUAGUGACAGUCAUAUGA